rnacentral:rRNA from 1 species
UGAACCUGCGGAGNGAUCAUUACAAGAACGCCCGGGCUUCGGCCUGGUUAUUCAUAACCCUUUGUUGUCCGACUCUGUUGCCUCCGGGGCGACCCUGCCUUCGGGCGGGGGUUCCGGGUGGACACUUCAAACUCUUGCGUAACUUUGCAGUCUGAGUAAACUUAAUUAAUAAAUUAAAACUUUUAACAACGGAUCUCUUGGUUCUGGCAUCGAUGAAGAACGCAGCGAAAUGCGAUAAGUAAUGUGAAUUGCAGAAUUCAGUGAAUCAUCGAAUCUUUGAACGCACAUUGCGCCCCCUGGUAUUCCGGGGGGCAUGCCUGUUCGAGCGUCAUUUCACCACUCAAGCCUCGCUUGGUAUUGGGCAACGCGGUCCGCCGCGUGCCUCAAAUCGUCCGGCUGGGUCUUCUGUCCCCUAAGCGUUGUGGAAACUAUUCGCUAAAGGGUGUUCGGGAGGCUACGCCGUAAAACAACCCCAUUUCUAAGGUUGACCUCGGAUCAGGUAGGGAUACCCGCUGAACUUAAGCAUAUCA